rnacentral:lncRNA from 1 species
GUAAGCAUACUGAAACUGAAUGCACAUGGAUUUAACCGUUAUCCACUCUCUGAUUGUGACCUCAUCUGUGAAAAACCUCAUUCUAGAGCAGGGGUAUUCAACCUAGAGUCUGCCACCACUCUAGGGGUCCGCGAAAAUAUAGCAAUAUAGCAACAAAAAAGUAGCUAAAUUUCUUUUCUGAAUAUUGCUAGCAACAACAAAAUACACACAUUUUGAAUUACAUACCUACAGUAGGAAAUAGGACAAUAUGUUAUUUCUAAUGACGUCAACUUUAUUUCUCAACUGCCAAUUACACAUAGGGGAGAACUGUGACGAAAGUAACGCUUUUUGUUUUAGUUUCUAAUUACUCAGAGAUCGAUAGAGCUAGAGACACCAUAUUGUACGACAAACAACUUAUGUGUCCUCUACCAUUAGCAACUGUAAUUUCAUUUCUAUGGUAAAUGAGUUGAAAUUAAACAGACUGAGAACAGAACGACCGCAAUGUUACUUUUGUACUUGCCUGCGGGACGGGAGUAACAGCUGGCGAGGAGUGCACAAUAUUUGUCUCGUCUCCAUGUUUCUGGGUUGUAACGCUCGUUCAUUUCUACCAAUGUACUACCAGCCAUAAGUUCAUGUGUGUGCCGAUUUGAGAGGAGAUGGGAAACUGGACCCCCUAUGCAAGGAGGCCGUCAGUGCUGUGCAGAAUGCAUACUGAGAUACACCCACACUCUACCAGGAGAUUGGUCAAGGGGAUGAAUCUAAUCUAGUAGUAAACCUGAAGAGAAACACAGCAACAGACACUUUUUGUAUUUUUUUGAUGACAAGCAUUAUAGUACCAUACAAUAGUAUUCUCCAGCAUUAAGUCAAGUGUUGUUGUAUUUAUUGCUACAUAAUCUCGGAGACCCAGAAUCAAAUGUGCCGUGUAUGCUGGUCAUCUCAACAGUCUGUCGUGAGAGACUGCAACAUGCUAAUUGCGAAAUGUAGUCAUUAUAGUUUCUUAUGAUUUUUAUUUAGUGGUGAUUGACUGUGCUAUAGUUACUCUAUCAUUGUCAAUAUUGCCUCAGACAAUUUUGUGUCUGGUCCCUGUCUGAAAACAUACAUUACAAAAUCCAAAUAAUUCCCUUAACCUUUGGCAUACAACCAUUCUUAGAUCUGCUUCCUGUGGUCUCUCUCCUCAUCUGAAUAUGAUUACUUCUGCAAUCCAUUCUCAAUUAGCCUUAUGGGAGGGAUUGUGCACUAAUAGAAUCAUACCCCAUCGGUCAAACCACAGACCAAAUUAGCAGACCAAAUUUGCACUGCAAGCAAAAUCCAAACAGUCAUGCAAACACUGCCACACAGUCACAGUCUGGCCGCGUCCCAAAUGGCACCCUAUUCUCUAUGCGGUGCACUACUUUUGACCAGAGCCCUGGUCAAAAGUAGUGCACUCUUAAGGGAAUAGGGUGCCAUUUGGGACGCUACGUCUGAGGCUAGGCUCAAUGUCAGCUUCAAAGUUAACCAAAAACAUAUGGAGGUGCUUAUAGGGGUUCAUGGCACUUACCACAUUUCAUUUCAAUGCAAUCAAGCCCCCCCCACACACACACACACACAUAUAAAUACAGUACGCCUCCUACGUGAUUGUCCUCGAAACGUUAUUAAUGCUUUAUUACUAAAACAGCCAGCUUGGAGGACUUUCUUUUUGGAAGAAUAUCAGACAACCAAAAGAGAACCUUGUCCCCCAUCUUCUGAAAGAGCCGAGAUGAUUACCUCCGUUUCUUCCUGUGCGGCAUCAGUGUAUACAUCCCAAAUGUCACCCUAUUCCAUAUAUGGUGCACUACUUUUUACCAGAACAAGUAGAAGUAGUGCACUAUAUAGGGAAUAGGGUCCCAUUCGGGACGCAAUGUCUAGCACUGAAACAUAUUUAAGGGGGAGUAAACAAAAAGAAACAAACUGAAAUAUACUCUCUGUUUCUCUCCUCGCGCCUCCACCCUCCUAAACUAUUGCCUAAAGCUCCUGUUUUUAACAGCUCUUUAACAGUUUGCUAGAUUUUCAACCUGGCUAGGUGGAUAGCACAGUUAAUGUACCUGACAGCGAAGCUAUGGAAUUCAGAGAAAACAUCUGGGUGUCAAAUAAAAGCAAUUGUCAAAGCAAAUAGACUCAGGCAGUAGUGAAAUCCUUUAGGAGGGUUAUUGUGAUGUCAAUGCUAUUGAAUAACUGGUAGAGAAUACAGCCAGCUGGCCCCACUUGCCUGAUUAAAGGUGUG